UACGUAGGGUGCGAGCGUUGUCCGGAAUUAUUGGGCGUAAAGAGCUUGUAGGUGGUUUGUCGCGUCUGCUGUGAAAAUCCGAGGCUCAACCUCGGACCUGCAGUGGGUACGGGCAGACUAGAGUGUGGUAGGGGAGACUGGAAUUCCUGGUGUAGCGGUGGAAUGCGCAGAUAUCGGGAAGAACACCCGUGGCGAAGGCGGCUCUCUGGGACGGUACUGACGCUGAGACGCGAAAGCGUGGGGAGCGAACAGG
rnacentral:rRNA from 1 species